rnacentral:rRNA from 1 species
CCUACGGGUGGCAGCAGUGGGGAAUAUUGCACAAUGGGGGAAACCCUGAUGCAGCGACGCAGCGUGAGGGAAGAAGUAAUUCGUUAUGUAAAGCUCUAUCAGCAGGGAAGAAAAUGACGGUACCUGAGUAAGAAGCCCCGGCUAACUACGUGAAAGCAGCCGCGGGACUACGUAGGGGGCAAGCGUUAUCCGGAUUUACUGGGUGUAAAGGGAGGGUUGACGGGAUUGAAGGUCUGGAGUGAAAGGCGGGGGCUCAACCCCCGGACUGCACUGGAAACUGGACGGCUUGAGUUCAGGAGAGGGAAGGGGAAUUCCUGGUGUAGCGGUGAAAUGCGUAGAUAUUAGGAAGAACCCCAGUGGCGAAGGCGGCUUACUGGACUGUAACUGACGUUGAGGCUCGAAAGCGUGGGUAGCAAACAGGAUUAGAUACCCGUGUAGUC